rnacentral:rRNA from 1 species
UACGUAGGGGGCUAGCGUUGUCCGGAAUCAUUGGGCGUAAAGCGCACGUAGGCGGCGGCAUAAGCGGGAUGUGAAAGCCCAGGGCUCAACCCUGGAAGUGCAUCCCGAACUGUGUCGCUUGAAUCUCGGAGGGGGACAGAGAAUUCCCGGUGUAGAGGUGAAAUUCGUAGAUAUCGGGAGGAAUACCGGUGGCGAAGGCGGCAUCCUGGACCGGCAGUUGACGCUGAGGCGCGAAAGCCAGGGGAGCCAAAGCGGGG